AAGAUACGUCACUGUAUCGAAUGUUCGAAAGAGAAAGGCUUGACCCUGAAAGAGCAUAACGUUGUCUGUCUACUGACUUUGGGGGAAAGGAAGACAUAAACCGAAUAAGGAGGAUGUUGCUUUUAAGCACAUUAAAAGUCAGUGACAUCCUACAGGAGCAACCUUAGAGUGCAGUAACCUUGAUCAAGACCGUCAGUGAAAUACCACUACAUUCAUCGUGUGUUGACUUACUCAGCAAAGCAGACAGUGGUGCUGAAAAAUCAUAUUUCUGGCACCGAGAGCGAUUACGUAACGUCUCACAUGAUCCACUCUGAGAACAGUAUCAGGCAGGAAGGUUGAGGAUGUCUGAGUGUCAGGUAGGAAGUUUUUAAUGUCAAAAGGCAACACAAGUGUCUUACUAUGACAACAGAAACCUUGCGUAGAGUAAAAUGCAAAAGCUCACUUGCUGUUGAUUUUCGGUAGAAAUACUGAUGAUCUUUGCUUAUUAAUCCUUUUAUUUUUACAAUUUUUGCACAAGCACUAGAGAAAGUUAUCAUAGAAAUAACUGAUUUGUAACGGUCAAGCGCUGAUAGCGACAUCGCCUUUCGAUCUUCCACUUUUCUUAUCACUACAAAGCAUAAUUCAUUUAGCUUGGAAAAUUUUCACCCUCUAACACAGAACGUGAGCUGAAUUUAGAUCAUCGUGGAUGCUGAUGUAGAUCAGUG
rfam:Stegodyphus mimosarum contig98382, whole genome shotgun sequence.